UCAUGCCUACAACAUAGAGUUAAUGCACCAGAUCCCAUUAGAACUCCGCAGUUAAGCACGCUCAGGCUAGAGUAGUACUGGUAUGGGUGACCACCUGGAAAGUCCUAGUGUUUUACAUGCC
rnacentral:rRNA from 1 species